UGUGAAGGUGACUGGAGUC
rnacentral:miRNA from 1 species